rnacentral:rRNA from 1 species
GUGAUCACACUGGCACUAAUGCACCGGAUCCCAUCAGAACUCCGAAGUUAUGCUUGCAUGGGAGAGGGCAGUACUAUGAUGGGUGACCACCUGGGUAGUCCUCGUGUUGCACCU